rnacentral:lncRNA from 1 species
CCCAGGGCAGGAGGAGGACGCCAUAAAAUGCUGCACUUCUGUUUGAGGUUCCCUAACCCAGCUGCAGCGCUCCGCGGAGCUUCUCGGGUGGCUGGGCCGCUUUGAAGGUUUACUUUCAAUUAAAAAAAAAAAUAAAGUAAAAUAAAAUAAGAAGAAAAGAAGCCAAAUCAGCAGCUGUCAGGGACGCGGGGAAGAUUUAUUCAGGGCGGUCAAAGGGGAGCGUGGCCGGCAGUCAGGGCUGCAGAGCAGAAGUUGCAAUUCCCAUGCCGAAGGGAACCACAGGUAACUGGAGAUGACAAAUGAAAGUAAGUAUCCAGCCCUACCCCCAUGAACUCUGAGCACCAGCUGGCCCCACCCCUUGGGCUGU